CCAGUUUGAUCCUGGCUCAGGAUGAACGUGGGGCGGGCUUAACACAUGCAAGUCGAACGAGCGACUAUUAACAGAACCUAUUCGGGGCGAAGAAUAUAGAAGUUAGUGGCGGACGGGUGCGUAACGCGUGGGUAAUCUGCCUUUGUCAAAGAAAUAACUAUUCGAAAGAAUAGCUAAAACCGUAUAACAUAUUAAUAGGGCAUCCUAAUAAUAUCAAAACUAAGGUGGACAAAGAUGAGCCCGCGUCUGAUUAGCUAGUUGGUGAGAUAAAAGCCCACCAAGGCAACGAUCAGUAGCCGACCUGAGAGGGUGAACGGCCACAUUGGAACUGAGACACGGUCCAAACUCCUACGGGAGGCAGCAGUGGGGAAUAUUGCACAAUGGGGGGAACCCUGAUGCAGCAACGCCGCGUGAGUGAAGAAGGCAUUCGUGUCGUAAAACUCUGUAGUAGGGGAAGAAAGAAAUGACAGUACCCUAAAAGAAAGCCCCGGCUAACUACGUGCCAGCAGCCGCGGUAAUACGUAGGGGGCAAGCGUUAUCCGGAAUAACUGGGCGUAAAGGGUGCGCAGGUGGUUUAACAAGUUAGUGGUGAAAGGCAUAGGCUCAACCAAUGUAAGCCAUUAAAACUGUUU
rnacentral:rRNA from 1 species